ACAUAAGAAACACGCCCAGUGUGCAUACUGAAUUAUUGAUGUAUGAUCCAUCUUAUACAAUGUAUAAUAUAAUAAUGUUACAUCACCACAAAAAAUGAUGAACGAUGGGGUUGGAGCCAUCCGGAUACAGCAUUUCCUGCUUUGCAGUAUGGCAGCUUUUCUAUCGGCGAGGGCACGACUCCUUUGCUAACUCUCCCGAGCUGACGAUGCGAACAUAUUUCCUAUAUACUUUUGUUGGCGGUCUCAUUCAGUUUUAUUCAAAGCUGGCGAAGAAAAGAAAAAUGACGACCUUUUUUUUCUCAACGAAAAGAGAAAAGGAUCGACGGCUUUGAUUCCGAUGUGGUGCAUUGCGGCGCAAAACUUUUUUUCUUUUUUCAAGCUUAUUAUUUAUUCCCCCUCCCUCCCCCCACCGUUUUAUGCUGCAUGUGUCUUUUUUACUGUUUCGAUCUACUACCCAAUAACUGACACGGAACCUUUUUGUAUAUUCUCCACGCAACACGCUCCAUCAAUGUAAAGUACCUUCCUCUGUCUCUAUAUACCAAGUUUUUGGACAA